rnacentral:lncRNA from 1 species
AUGUCCUCCCGAAGCAUUAGAGAGAAGAACCACCAGAUGUCCACAGGCAUGUUUUCUGUUCCAGCCAGGACCAGCUCUAUUCCGAAUGGAGACUUGUCCUGUUGGCAUAUGUGUUCUCAGGGGAACAUACUAAGCCCCUUCUGCAAGGCCCUGGCACCCCCUCACCGUUUAUUGUCCCUCCUCGAUGCCCUGUUCUUUGACCUCUCGGGCAACAAACGACUUCCUGAUUGCCAAAGCUGGGCCCCACCCGCCUGCCCUGGCCAAGAUGUGGACCGAGGACUGUGCAGGGCUUCACCGAAAUUCACGGAUCCCCAGUGAAGUUACCUCCCUGGGCGUAUUUAUCUUGAAGGCGAGCUGGCUGCUUUGGAGUGUCUGGUGAUUAACCGUUUCUUCUUGCUUUUUUUUUUUUUUUUUUUUUAACCCAUGCUAGGGCUGAGGAAGGAAAAUUCAAUCCUUGCUACUUUUAGAGUGUGGAGUCGGCAACGUGGGCAACAUAUACCUGGGGCCCACUGGGGGUCCCCGGUGGGAAGGGAGGGGGAGAAAAGAUCACAGGAUUUCUGAAGCUCAAGUAAGCUGCAUUCAUGAGCAAAUCAGCCGUCUCCUGGUUCUUGACCUCCUUUGGGCAUUGUGAGGGCUGAUGAGCUCAUGCUUGUAAAGAGUGCAAGCCUUUAAUUGAAGUAUAAUUAAUAAUCAUCUGAUAAGUGAAUAACAAUAAUAAUGAUGAUGUAAUCCCCUUCCCCCACAGCCCCACUCCUGUUUCUUUGGGGAGUAACAUUAUGACAUGAUGUCCCAGUGUACUCAAUUAGAUGAAUGACUGUAGGUGCGGACAAAUCAUCACAGCCAUGUGCUCGCCGGCACAGCCCAGGAUUGGCCUGCCACCGAGAAACCCGAGGGCCUAGAACAAUGCAGCAAUGUUCUCUAACCAUUGCGUCGUUCAGAUAAUGGGCAAGUUCAAGCUGUUUCAUGACUCAGGUACUAGGACAACCUACUUGCUUCUUUGCAACCUGGUGGCCCUCCCAGGCAGGAGAGAUGAGUAUGGAAGCCUUACGGAGUGUGACAGUGACUUAUUUCUCCUGUUCCUCUGCCUCGUGCUUUCCACAGACCCCCACAUCCUGGAAGAUGAAUGAGCGAGUCUUCCAAGGGGGGGUGACAUGAGUGGAUUUCUACCUGCCUCUACGCCAAUGAUCAUCCGAGGGACAUCUGGAUGCGAUAACGUGGCCGAGAUUUAUCUCGAGUACCUGAUGGGAUGAAUGGAAAAGCAAUGGGUUUUAGAAAAAAGGAAUCUUUUUUGUUUUCUUGGCUUCUCCCAGUGGAAUCUAAAAAAACCAGAGCCCUCAGAGUGGACACCAAGCUUAAAAGAAGUGCUUAGGAUGGGAACGGGGUGGGGGGAAUUAUGAAGGAGGCAAUUCAUCACCCACUUUUGCCCUAAAGUCUUCUCAGGCCAGAAGGCUGAGAUAGGCAGAAUGGAAUCCUCAGCUAGAAAAGAUAAUAACACCUUUCAUUUGCAAACAAUUUACAGUUUACAAAGCACUUUCAUGCAGCAUGACCUCAUCUGGGUCUCCCAGUAUCUCUGCAAGGUUGGCUAAGUUUAUAAUCACCAGUUUAUAGAUGAGGAGACUGAGGUCCAAAGUGGCUAAGUGACUCACCCACCCAGAGAGAAAGUGGCAGAGUGGGAGCCAAACCCAAGUUCCUAACCGGACACUAGGACUUCCUCCACGAUGGACAGAGUCCACAAUCUUCUCCCUCCUGGGAAGAUCAGUGUUCGAUUUAUUCAACAAAUAGGUAAUGAACGCUCGUUCUGUGCUGGGCACGGUGCUGGGUGCUGCGGGGACAGCAGUGAAACGGGACAUAUAAGGCUUGUUUCAUAAUAUUUUCACCACGGUAAUAGUCUUGUGCGGCUGGCAUCUCUAGGCCACGCUCUCCAUUCAGAGAGAUCCCGUAGGAAAGUCCUUUUGCUGCAACAGUGAAAGUCCGUUCCAUCUAGCUAAUGUACAAAAGGGAAAUCUUUUUUUUUUUUUAAGAUUUAUUAUUUAUUUAUUUAUUUAUUUAUUUAUUUAUUUAUUUAUUUAUUCAUGAGAGACACACAGAGGCAGAGACACAUGCAGAGGGAGAAGCAGGCUCCCUGUGGGGAUCCCAUGUGGGACUCGAUCCCAGGACCCCAGGAUCAUGACCUGAGCCCAAGGCAGACGCUCAACCACUGAGCCACAAGGGAAACCUAUUACAAAAGUUAUGGGUGUCUCACGGAAUCUAAUCAAAUGUUGGUCCAUCCCAAGCUUUGGGAUGGCUAAGAACUUUUCCAAGAUUCCCAACAUUUGGGAAAGGACAGCUUCCAAGCUUUCAGCAGCGGGACCAAGGAGAACUUUUCUUUCCAUCUAGAUCACGUUUUUCUGCUUCCAAGUUCAAAUCCCCAACAGAGAGAAUCUGAUUGGCCUAAAGUCUCUAGCCUUGAAACAACCCAGGCCAUCUGUGCAGACG